CCCCUGCGAUGUUCGUUACAUUGCUCCACAGGUUUUGAGCCAACACUCUUACCUAGGGAACCUGAUACUUCUUCCUUCAAAAACAAGCCUCCUUUAGAGUGGACUUUUGCGAUGGGAGAGAAGGUACCCACCUGCACAUGCAGGUUCAAAACAUGGAGUUAGGACGGCAUUGUGGGGAU
rnacentral:other from 1 species